rnacentral:lncRNA from 1 species
CGCGAUGUUUCCCGCGAGCUCCGCUAAUCCCACAAAACCAGGAACGCUAACUCGUUUGCGUAGCGUACGUCCGCUAUACCCGCUAUUUCUGUUAGCGUUCUGUGCAUGCGCAGUGACGACCCGCUAGUUUAUAGCGUACGCUAUACUAAAAGUGUCUAAUAGUACCUAGGUUGCGGAAGAAAUG